rnacentral:rRNA from 1 species
UAGGGAAUCUUCCACAAUGGACGAAAGUCUGAUGGAGCAACGCCGUGUGAGUGAAGAAGGUUUUCGGAUCGUAAAGCUCUGUUGUUGGUGAAGAAGGAUAGAGGCAGUAACUGGUCUUUAUUUGACGGUAAUCAACCAGAAAGUCACGGCUAACUACGUGGCAG